UAUAGAAACAAAGAAAGGGAUGGCGAUGGUGGAACUCUUGGCAGUCGGGUGCACGGCAAUCGUCAUGUUACUCCAUGGAACCAAUUUUGUGUUCCAUGCUUUCGUUCAUCAAAUCUCCGUUCGAACGAUCAGUUUCUUGGGAUGUGUUUGGUAACAUACAGAUGCGGAGAUGAGUCGUUGGUGGUUGGAAUUCGAUUUCCAACGGAACGGAAUUGUGAAUAUUUUUAUAUAAUUUGUAGACAAUAAUUUGCUUGGUUUGGAAUGUAUUAUUGAUGCAUGUUCUAAAAAAACCCAAUUUUAAUGAAGAUGACAAUGAUUAAGCAGUA